rnacentral:rRNA from 1 species
UACGUAGGGGGCAAGCGUUGUCCGGAAUCAUUGGGCGUAAAGAGCGUGUAGGCGGCCAGAUAAGUCCGCUGUGAAAUCUCGAGGCUCAACUUCGAGCUGUCGGUGGAAACUGUCUGGCUAGAGUCCGGAAGAGGAGAAUGGAAUUCCUGGUGUAGCUGUGAAAUGCGCAGAUAUCAGGAAGAACACCCGUGGCGAAGGCGGUUCUCUGGGACGGUACUGACGCUGAGACGCGAAAGCGUGGGGAGCGAACAGG